AACCUGCCCUUGACUUUGGGAUAACUUCAGGAAACUGGGGCUAAUACCGGAUAGGAGCUCCUGCUGCAUGGUGGGGGUUGGAAAGUUUCGGCGGUUGGGGAUGGACUCGCGGCUUAUCAGCUUGUUGGUGGGGUAGUGGCUUACCAAGGCUUUGACGGGUAGCCGGCCUGAGAGGGUGGACGGCCACAUUGGGACUGAGAUACGGCCCAG
rnacentral:rRNA from 1 species